GGACGAACGCUGGCGGCGUGCCUAAUACAUGCAAGUCGAACGGUCUUUCUAUGGAAGCUUGCUUCCACUGAGAAGAUAGUGGCGAACGGGUGAGUAACACGUGGGUAACCUGCCCAUAAGAGGGGGGAUAACAUCCGGAAACGGGUGCUAAUACCGCAUAGUUUUCUUGAUCGCAUGAUCGGGAAAGGAAAGACGGCCUUUGUGCUGUCGCUUAUGGAUGGACCCGCGGCGUAUUAGUUAGUUGGUGAGGUAACGGCUCACCAAGACGAUGAUACGUAGCCGACCUGAGAGGGUGAUCGGCCACAUUGGGACUGAGACACGGCCCAAACUCCUACGGGAGGCAGCAGUAGGGAAUCUUCCGCAAUGGACGAAAGUCUGACGGAGCAACGCCGCGUGAGUGAAGAAAAGGUUUUCGGAUCGUAAAACUCUGUUGUCAGAGAAGAACAAGUUGGAGAGUAACUGCUCCAGCCUUGACGGUAUCUGACCAGAAAGCCACGGCUAACUACGUGCCAGCCGCCGC
rnacentral:rRNA from 1 species